rnacentral:misc_RNA from 1 species
AUGGGAGGUUCAAGGGCUUUGGGCAUGUUGAGUUUGAGUCACAUGAAGUUGCUAAAAAAGCUCUUGAAUUGAACGGUGAACUCCUCUUAAAUCGUGAAAUAAGACUUGACUUGGCUAGAGAAAAAGGUGCAUACACACCAUUUGACAGCAAAGAGCGGAACAACUCAUUCCAGAAAGGUGGAAGGGGCUCAAUUCAAACAAUUUUUGUACGUGGAUUUGAUCGAUCAUUGGGAGAGGAUGAGAUUAGAAGUGCCUUACAAGAGCAUUUUGGCGCUUGUGGAGACAUUACAAGGGUAUCAAUUCCGAAAGACUAUGAGACUGGCAACGUUAAAGGGAUGGCUUACAUGGACUUCACUGAUGCGGAUAGUUUCAACAAAGCUCUUGAACUCAAUGGCAGUGAGCUCCACGGUCAGUACCUAACUGUUGAUGAGGCCAAGCCACGUGUAGACAGUCGUGAUGGCGG